UUCAGGCCAUCUACUGAUUGGAUGAGGCCCACCAGCAUUCUGAAAGACAAGGAAUCUGAGACCUGGCUGGGAGAAGAGGACUUGCCUAAAGUUAUCCCACACAGCAAAUUAGUUGGAAAACCAGGAUAGUUGAGUAAAUAUCCUGGAGCCCAGCCAAGUAAUGAAGCCAGAAUUCAGAAAGCUGUUUUGGCUAGAUCUUGGAUUUUUACAAUAAAGGGUCUGUAAGGGAUAUUUGUGAAAAAUGUU
ensembl:lncRNA LINC02041 long intergenic non-protein coding RNA 2041